GUACCUUUAGCUCAGUUGGUUAGAGCAGACGGCUCAUAACCGUCCGGUCGUAGGUUCGAGUCCUACAAGGUCCA
rnacentral:tRNA from 2 species